UACGUAGGGCGCAAGCGUUGUCCGGAAUCAUUGGGCGUAAAGAGCUCGUAGGCGGCCUGUUGCGUCCGCUGUGAAAUCCCGGGGCUUAACCCCGGGCGUGCAGUGGAUACGGGCUGGCUGGAGGCAGGCAGGGGAGAACGGAAUUUCCGGUGUAGCGGUGAGAUGCGUAGAUAUCGGAAGGAACACCUGUGGCGAAAGCGGCUCACUGGACCAUUACUGACGCUGAUGCACGAAAGCUAGGGGAGCAAACAGG
rnacentral:rRNA from 1 species